GAUGAACGCUAGCGGCAGGCCUAAUACAUGCAAGACGAACGGUAAGUUGAGUAGCAAUACUUGACCUAGAGUGUCGCACGGGUGCGUAACACGUAUGCAACCUACCCAUAACAGGAGGAUAGCUCCCCGAAAGGGGAAUUAACCCUCCAUAGUAAUAUUGGAUGGCAUCAUUUGAUAUUUAAAACUCCGGUGGUUAUGGAUGGGCAUGCGUCUGAUUAGUUAGUUGGCGGGGUAAUGGCCCACCAAGACGAUGAUCAGUAGGGGAACUGAGAGGUUGAUCCCCCACACUGGCACUGAGAUACGGGCCAGACUCCUACGGGAGGCAGCAGUAGGGAAUAUUGGUCAAUGGAUGGAAGUCUGAACCAGCCAUGCCGCGUGCAGGAAGAAGGCCUUAUGGGUUGUAAACUGCUUUUGCCAGGGGAUAAAAUAGCUGUGCGCAGCGAAUUGCAGGUACCUGGUGAAUAAGCCACGGCUAACUACGUGCCGGCAGCCGCGGUAAUACGUAGGUGGCAAGCGUUGUCCGGAUUUAUUGGGUUUAAAGGGUGCGUAGGCGGCCCUGUAAGUCAGUGGUGAAAUACUCCAGCUUAACUGGAGGGGUGCCAUUGAUACUGCAGGGCUUGAGUAAAGUUGAAGUUGGCGGAAUUGACGGUGUAGCGGUGAAAUGCUUAGAUAUCGUCAAGAACACCGAUAGUGAAGACAGCUAACUAAGCUUUAACUGACGCUGAGGCACGAAAGUGUGGGGAUCAAACAGGAUUAGAUACCCUGGUAGUCCACACUGUAAACGUUGAUGACUCGCUGUUGGCGAUACACAGCCAGCGGCCAAGCGCAAGCGAUAAGUCAUCCACCUGGGGAGUACGCCGGCAACGGUG
rnacentral:rRNA from 1 species